CUAUCAUAUCAAAAACUAUCCGUUACACUCUUUUUUUUUACACUUGAAAGUAUUUUUUUUAUAUAAAUCAACUAUUCAUGUACCAUUUUUUAUAUAAAUUUAAGUCAAAAAAUGUGUAUUUUUUUCACAACUUUUUAUAACUUAUGUACCAUUUUACUUCUCUUCACCAUAAAUCAAAUCAACUACAAUCAAAUCAAUUG
rnacentral:lncRNA from 1 species